rnacentral:rRNA from 1 species
CUUGGUCAUUUAGAGGAAGUAAAAGUCGUAACAAGGUUUCCGUAGGUGAACCUGCGGAAGGAUCAUUACAGUAUUCUUUUUGCCAGCGCUUAAUUGCGCGGCGAAAAAACCUUACACACAGUGUCUUUUGUUAUUACAAGAACUUUUGCUUUGGUCUGGACUAGAAAUAGUUUGGGCCAGAGGUUUACUGAACUAAACUUCAAUAUUUAUAUUGAAUUGUUAUUUAUUUAAUUGUCAAUUUGUUGAUUAAAUUCAAAAAAUCUUCAAAACUUUCAACAACGGAUCUCUUGGUUCUCGCAUCGAUGAAGAACGCAGCGAAAUGCGAUAAGUAAUAUGAAUUGCAGAUUUUCGUGAAUCAUCGAAUCUUUGAACGCACAUUGCGCCCUCUGGUAUUCCAGAGGGCAUGCCUGUUUGAGCGUCAUUUCUCUCUCAAACCUUCGGGUUUGGUAUUGAGUGAUACUCUUAGUCGAACUAGGCGUUUGCUUGAAAUGUAUUGGCAUGAGUGGUACUGGAUAGUGCUAUAUGACUUUCAAUGUAUUAGGUUUAUCCAACUCGUUGAAUAGUUUAAUGGUAUAUUUCUCGGUAUUCUAGGCUCGGCCUUACAAUAUAACAAACAAGUUUGACCUCAAAUCAGGUAGGAUUACCCGCUGAACUUAAGCAUAUCAAUAAGCGGAGGA